UUCGUAGGCAGCAAGCGUUGUUCGGAGUUACUGGGCGUAAAGGGUGCGUAGGCGGUCCUGUAAGUAUGGUGUGAAAUCUCCCGGCUUAACUGGGAGGGUGCGCUAUAGACUGCGGGACUAGAGGGUGGGAGAGGAGUGUGGAAUUCCCGGUGUAGCGGUGAAAUGCGCAGAUAUCAGGAAGAACACCCGUGGCGAAGGCGGCCCUCUGGACGAUGACUGACGCUGAGACGCGAAAGCGUGGGGAGCAAACAGG
rnacentral:rRNA from 1 species